AACGAACGCUGGCGGCAGGCCUAACACAUGCAAGUCGAGCGAGAUCUUCGGGUCUAGCGGCGGACGGGUGAGUAACGCGUGGGAAUAUGCCUCUUGGUACGGAAUAGCCUCGGGAAACUGGGAGUAAUACCGUAUGUGCCCUUUGGGGGAAAGAUUUAUCGCCAAGAGAUUAGCCCGCGUUGGAUUAGGUAGUUGGUGGGGUAAUGGCCUACCAAGCCGACGAUCCAUAGCUGGUUUGAGAGGAUGAUCAGCCACACUGGGACUGAGGCACGGCCCAGACUCCUACGGGAGGCAGCAGUGGGGAAUCUUAGACAAUGGGGGCAACCCUGAUCUAGCCAUGCCGCGUGAGUGAUGAAGGCCUUAGGGUUGUAAAGCUCUUUCAGCUGGGAAGAUAAUGACGGUACCAGCAGAAGAAGCCCCGGCUAACUCCGUG
rnacentral:rRNA from 1 species